CUCCACCUCAACUCUGACAUGGCCCACUGAAGGGAAGGGCAACAGGCAAGGAGGGGAGGAACUGAUCUUUCCAAAAGGGCCAGCAGGCUGAAGUUUUAAGAGGUCCAAUUGCUCCCAGAAACUGAGCUGAGUGUGCAGUCAUCCCUUAGCCGUGUGGAGGGACAGGUAAGGACCCAGAGUUCUUACUUAAGGACCUGGCCCACCGUUCCCUCUGCCUCCUGCACAGAGCUUUCAGGGAGGGACCCGGCUGAUGCUUCUCCCUGCUUUGCCUUGACCUACUGCCAGGUUUCUGGGACUACCACCUGGGGCACCCUUCACCUUGAGACCCAGCAAAAGAGGGCCAUCUCUACCUGCCCAACCCUUGCUCUCUUUCUGCUCAUGCGGGGCCACUGUCUCCAGCCAGUUCCAGCUGCUUGUGCCGGUCACCCGAUCCACCCUGUAGCCCUGCAAACUUUAUGGUAUUCUGGGCGGCGGCUGGCCUGGUGGAGGCGGGGGCUUCUACUUAAAGGAGCCAUCAGAGGGUGCCCUGUGGGCCCUAGCCUUCUUCCCUUCCUUGACAAGAAGGGUCAAGGUGAGAGACACCUUUGCAGAGUUCUUG
ensembl:lncRNA